UUUUGCUAUUCUUGCAUGAGGCUCUUAAAAUGAUUUUCAAGACGCAGUGUGAAUGGUGCUUCAGUGUGAUGGUCUUAUUUUAUCCUCUUUAGAACCUUGUAAAGUAAAUAGAGAUGUGGUGUCUGAAUGGCCCGAAGGGAAGACACUGAGCAUAGGAGUGACUGAAUAGAUGGAGACGAGACCAGAGCCAGCACCAAGGAAGCAAAUUUCUUGAAGCAACUAUUUCAGAUCAGAAGCCAAAUGAUGGUUAUAUACUCUCUUCUCUCAUUUUCCUUUAGGUUUUUCAGGAAUAUUGCCCCAGACUGUACAAGACGAUGAUGAAUGCUCAGCUCUUCCAUACUCCUAACGUGGGUUUCUUACAGUAUCAGACAUUUUUUAAACACUGUGCAAUUAAUCAAGUGGACCCAAUUCAAUGUCGAAACAUUUUUGUAGACUGUUUUGCAAAAGCUGUGAUGCUCUCUUAAUACUCACUUGAACUUUAUUCUUCAAACUGAUUAACUUUGCCUUUUCCUUCUUGUGAAAGCCUGCAGGUAGGUACCGAUCCAUUCCAAUUAUUAUCUAAUGACGAUAGAGACAGAAUCCUAGCUAACAGCUUCCAUCUGUGGUUAUGCAUAAAAUAUCUGCUUCUGGCAAGUGACACUAUAUGCAAAUUAAAAUUUGAAUGCUGCAGGAGUUACAUAAUAUAUUCAUACAUGCCUAAAAUAGAGAUUUCCCCACUCUUUCACUAUCUCCCAUUUCUGUAAUGCUUAGGAACUUUAUAAAUACAAUUUUUUAAAUGAUGCUUUUAUUUCUAUUCACUAGUAUGCUUAUUUUGGUUCUCACAUUAAGAUGUUUUAUAAAAUAUAUUUAAUAAAUGAAUAUUAAUUUAAGUGCUGAGAUUGCUUGCCAUAAAUCUGUAAUUCUUAUAGUGCCUCUAAGUGAAUAUUACAAUAUUCCUCUAGAACCUAAGAUUUAGCUUACACUUGUUGCCUUAAGGCCACUUCUGUAUCUGCUGCUGGCAAAACUACCCAUCCAUAUGACUCACUGUAUCCAGACUUAACAAUGGAUUUAAAAAGAUUUUGAAACUCUUA